UAGUGCUGAUAGCAUCGUAAAAUGUGCCCCGAUAAAAGUUAAGUCUCGUAAACUCCACCGUUCAUACCCGAAAAGCCAAAGCGAAGAAUCGUAAACUUGUGCCCUCUGCAAACCAAAAACCAGCCUGAGAAACCUCUUCGGUCACAGUUCGAACAAUGUUGGCUGACACCACCUCACUCCCGUUUCUACCACCAUCAUUCCGGUGCUAGUGACCAUCAGCAAGAACUCAUUGGCUUCAGCACCAUGUGAAGCCUCCGAACCCAACCCCAAAGCAUUCGUCCCUUCAGGCAAAUUUUGGUGUGCGAGGCAAGGCGAGCAUAGGAAGACAUAUGGAAUAAGAUGCUCUCGAAAUAAAUUGUCGACGGCAGCAGUCCAUUCAUUCUUGAUUUUAGACCCGAAAGACUCCUCAGCAGAUACCUUCGCACAGUGGCGUGUGUGGUACGGUGCACGAAUUGGAAUAUUUAAAUGAAAUUUGGUGUUAACAAAUAACAAAAUAUAAAAAA